rnacentral:rRNA from 1 species
GAUGAACGCUGGCGGCGUGCCUAAUACAUGCAAGUAGAACGCUGAAGGAGGAGCUUGCUCUUCUGGAUGAGUUGCGAACGGGUGAGUAACGCGUAGGUAACCUGCCUGGUAGCGGGGGAUAACUAUUGGAAACGAUAGCUAAUACCGCAUGACAACAGUUAUUGCAUGAUAACUGUUUAAAAGGGGCAACUGCUCCACUACCAGAUGGACCUGCGUUGUAUUAGCUAGUUGGUGAGGUAACGGCUCACCAAGGCGACGAUACAUAGCCGACCUGAGAGGGGGAUCGGCCACACUGGGACUGGGACACGGCCCAGACUCCUACGGGAGGCAGCAGUAGGGAAUCUUCGGCAAUGGACGGAAGUCUGACCGAGCAACGCCGCGUGAGGGAAGAAGGUUUUCGGAUCGUAAAGCUCUGUUGUAAGAGAAGAACGAGUGUGAGAGUGGAAAGUUCACACUGUGGCGGUAUCUUACCAGAAAGGGACGGCUAACUACGUG